AGUUUGAUCCUGGCUCAGGAUGAACGCUAGCUACAGGCUUAACACAUGCAAGUCGAGGGGCAGCAUUGGAGUAGCAAUACUUCAGAUGGCGACCGGCGCACGGGUGAGUAACACGUAUCCAACCUGCCGCUUACUCGGGGAUAGCCUUUCGAAAGAAAGAUUAAUACCCGAUGGUAUAAAGAGUUCGCAUGUUCUCUUUAUUAAAGAAUUUCGGUAAGCGAUGGGGAUGCGUUCCAUUAGAUAGUUGGCGGGGUAACGGCCCACCAAGUCUACGAUGGAUAGGGGUUCUGAGAGGAAGGUCCCCCACAUUGGAACUGAGACACGGUCCAAACUCCUACGGGAGGCAGCAGUGAGGAAUAUUGGUCAAUGGACGAGAGUCUGAACCAGCCAAGUAGCGUGAAGGAUGACUGCCCUAUGGGUUGUAAACUUCUUUUAUAAGGGAAUAAAGUGAGGGACGUGUCCCUUUUUGUAUGUACCUUAUGAAUAAGGAUCGGCUAACUCCGUGCCAGCAGCCGCGGUAAUACGGAGGAUCCAAGCGUUAUCCGGAUUUAUUGGGUUUAAAGGGAGCGUAGGUUGACAUAUAAGUCAGCUGUGAAAGUUUACGGCUCAACCGUGAAAUUGCAGUUGAUACUGUAUGUCUUGAGUGUACAAGAGGUGGGCGGAAUUCGUGGUGUAGCGGUGAAAUGCUUAGAUAUCACGAAGAACUCCAAUUGCGAAGGCAGCUCACUGGGGUACAACUGACACUGAGGCUCGAAAGUGUGGGUAUCAAACAGGAUUAGAUACCCUGGUAGUCCACACAGUAAACGAUGAAUACUCGCUGUUUGCGAUAUACAGUAAGCGGCCAAGCGAAAGCAUUAAGUAUUCCACCUGGGGAGUACGCCGGCAACGGUGAAACUCAAAGGAAUUGACGGGGGCCCGCACAAGCGGAGGAACAUGUGGUUUAAUUCGAUGAUACGCGAGGAACCUUACCCGGGCUUGAAUUGCAGAGGAAUAUAGUUGAAAGAUUAUGGCCGCAAGGUCUCUGUGAAGGUGCUGCAUGGUUGUCGUCAGCUCGUGCCGUGAGGUGUCGGCUUAAGUGCCAUAACGAGCGCAACCCUUAUCAUUAGUUACUAACAGGUCAUGCUGAGGACUCKAGUGAGACUGCCGUCGUAAGAUGUGAGGAAGGUGG
rnacentral:rRNA from 1 species